CACAUCAGUUUCCAUAUGGUACCUUUAGACGUCUCCAAGUGUCUCAUAACCUCUCCAACCUCACCAAAUACAAAAUCCAGUACCUGUCACUGUACAUCAAGAAUUCAUACUUUUUUCUUGCUUUCUGUACUACAGCAAACCAUUCUGAAUUAAUUUCAGUGUAAUAUAUUGUAAUGUAUUGUGACAACACAUAUGAUGGUCUAUAGCCUCUCCAAAAUAUACCCAAAAACCUAUCCAGAUCCAUAUAAAAGUACAUCAUGUAUGUUUCGUGGUUUUGUACUCAAAAGUACAUCAUGUAUGUUUUGUGGAGGUGUGUGGUGGGGUGUGGAGGUGGUGGAGGUGUGUGGAGGUGGUGUAGGGGUGUGUGGAGGUGUGUAGUGGUGUGUAGUGGUGUGUAGUGGUGUGUGGAGGUGUGUGGUGGGGUGUGGAGGUGGUGUAGUGGUGUGUGGAGGCGUGUGGAGGUGGUGUAGUGGUGUGUGGAGGCGUGUGGAGGUGUGUAGUGGGGUGUGGAGGUGUGUGGUGGGGUGUGGAGGUGGUGUAGUGGUGUGUGGAGGCGUGUGGAGGUGGUGUAGUGGUGUGUGGAGGCGUGUGGAGGUGUUGUAGUGGGGUGUGUGGAGGUGUUGUAGUGGGGUGUGUGGAGGUGGUGUAGUGGUGUGUGGAGGUGUGUAGUGGUGUGGAGGUGGUGUAGUGGGGUGUGGAGGCGUGUGGAGGUGUUGUAGUGGUGUGUGGAGGUGGUGUAGUGGGGUGUGGAGGCGUGUGGAGGUGGUGUAGUGGGGUGUAGUGGUGUGUGGAGGUGGUGUAGUGGUGUGUGGAGGUGGUGUAGUGGUGUGUGGAGGUGUGUGGAGGUGUGUGGUGGGGUGUGGUGGUGUAGUGGGGUGUGGGUGUGGAGGGAUAAGAUGAGAUGAGUUCUGUUCUGAUGAGAUGAGAUCUGUUCAGAUGAGAUGAAAUGAGUGGGGAGCGGACAGAUGCAUCUCCUGCAGGGACAUCUCUCUGGAAAAAAUAAAUCAAUUGGCAAAUGUUACACAAACAACUCAGAAAUCCAGCAAAAAAAAUUAAGACAUUGGGUAUUUUACAAACACAAUAUGCAACUAAAAACAAGAAAGAUGCAGAC
ensembl:lncRNA